rnacentral:rRNA from 1 species
AUUGAACGCUGGCGGCAGGCUUAACAAAUGCAAGUCGAGCGAGAGGCGGACGGGUGAGUAAUGUCUGGGAAACUGCCUGAUGGAGGGGGAUAACUACUGGAAAAGGUAGCUAAUACCGCAUACCAUCAGAUGUUCCCAGCUGGGAUUAGCUAGUAGGUGGGGUAAUGGCGCACCUAGGCGACGAUCCCUAGCUGGUCUGAGAGGAUGAACAGCCACACUGGAACUGAGACACGGGCCAGACUCCUACGUGAGGCAGCAGUGGGGAAUAUUGCACAAUGGGCGCAAGACUGAUGCAGCCAUGCCGCGUGUGUGAAGAAGGCCUUCGGGUUGUAAAGUACUUUCAGCGAGGAGGCGUUACUCGCAGAAGAAGCACCGGCUAACUCCGUGCCAGCCGCCGCGGUAAUAC